GAUGAACGCUGGCGGCGUGCUUAACACAUGCGAGUCGAACGGAAAGGCUCCUGCUUGCAGGGGUACUCGAGUGGCGAACGGGUGAGUAACACGUGGGUGAUCUGCCCUGCACUUCGGGAUAAGCCUGGGAAACUGGGUCUAAUACCGGAUAGGACGAUGGUUUGGAUGCCAUUGUGGAAAGUUUUUCGGUGUGGGAUGAGCUCGCGGCCUAUCAGCUUGUUGGUGGGGUAAUGGCCUACCAAGGCGUCGACGGGUAGCCGGCCUGAGAGGGUGUACGGCCACAUUGGGACUGAGAUACGGCCCAGACUCCUACGGGAGGCAGCAGUGGGGAAUAUUGCACAAUGGGCGCAAGCCUGAUGCAGCGACGCCGCGUGGGGGAUGACGGCCUUCGGGUUGUAAACUCCUUUCGCUAGGGACGAAGCGCAAGUGACGGUACCUGGAGAAGAAGCACCGGCUAACUACGU
rnacentral:rRNA from 1 species